GCUCAUGUCCAGAGAGCUUGGGCGAAUAAUGUCCAUCUUAGUCCAAGCUCGUCAUCAGGUUUGGCUGUCUCAGUCAAACUUAACGGAGGCAACCAGGAGAAUGCUGCGCAGCCUCCCGGUCGAACCUGGGGUGAUAUUUGGUCCAGCAGCCCAGGAAGCGCUGGAACGGACCAUCCAGGCGGGGCAGACCAGGCAGCAGCUUGUCGGGCUUAGCCGGAUGCCUCCUCCUGAUAGACCCCCGGCCGGCAGGCUGAGGGGCCCCCCAGCGGUUUUUCGCAGCCACAUGCCGUCGACAACUCACUCCACUGGUCGUCGUGAUGCCCAGCGUCCCGCACGGAGACCAGUCCGGGAUUUUCGGGGCUCUGCUCGCCUGCCCCCCAGACAAUUUCGAGCUCCAGAGCCCUUCCGCCCUCCCACUAGGGCCCCGAGGGGCCGGGGGGGCAGAGAUUGAGGCUUUGGGGCCGGCGGUCGGACUUUUUUCGCAUCAGCAGCUCCAACAGUGGGCUACUCAUGCUUCAGACCCGUGGGUGGUCGCCACCCUAACCUACGGGUACAAACUUCAAUUUCGCCGUCGGCCCCCCACAUCCGGCCGGGUCAGAAUGACAUCCAUCAGCGACCCGGCAAAGGUUCUCGCAUUGGACCAGGAGCUGUCUGCCCUCCUGGCCAAGGGCGCCAUCGAGCCUGUAGACCCUGGGUCAGAUCACCGGGGGUUCUACUCAACGUACUUUUUAGUGAAAAAAAAGACAGGCGGAUUCCGCCCAAUCCUAGACCUCAGAGGGUUGAACAAAUUUCUGAAGGUCAUACCUUUUCACAUGCUGACCACAGCAGAUGUCCUCAGAACGGUGGCUCAUGGGGACUGCUUCACAUCAAUAGACCUCAAGGACGCGUACUUUCACGUCCCAAUUGCUCAGCAACACAGGCAGUUUCUGCGCUUCGCAUACCGCGGCCGCCGCUGGCAGUUCAGGGUGCUGCCCUUCGGCCUCUCUCUCUCCCCAAGGGUCUUCACAAGGUGUGUGUCUGCAGCCCUAGCACCUCUACAGUCUCGG
rnacentral:lncRNA from 1 species